GCCCUUGUAGCUCAGAGGAUAGAGCUGCGGUUUCCUAAACCGUAGGUCGCGAGUUCAAGUCUCGCUAAGGGUA
rnacentral:tRNA from 1 species